UUUAAAUGAUUUAACACGAAACGAGUGGCGAACUGGUGAGUAACACGUGGGUAACCUGCCCUUGAAGUAGGGGAUAACACUUGGAAACAGGUGCUAAUACCGUAUAACAACCAAAACCACAUGGUUUUGGUUUAAAAGAUGGCUUCGGCUAUCACUUUAGGAUGGACCCGCGGCGUAUUAGCUUGUUGGUAAGGUAAUGGCCUACCAAGGCAAUGAUACGUAGCCGACCUGAGAGGGUAAUCGGCCACAUUGGGACUGAGACACGGCCCAAACUCCUACGGGAGGCAGCAGUAGGGAAUCUUCCACAAUGGACGAAAGUCUGAUGGAGCAACGCCGCGUGAGUGAUGAAGGGUUUCGGCUCGUAAAACUCUGUUGUUGGAGAAGAACAGGUGUCAGAGUAACUGUUGACAUCUUGACGGUAUCCAACCAGAAAGCCACGGCUAACUACGUGCCAGCAGCCGCGGUAAUACGUAGGUGGCAAGCGUUGUCCGGAUUUAUUGGGCGUAAAGCGAGCGCAGGCGGUUUCUUAGGUCUGAUGUGAAAGCCUUCGGCUUAACCGGAGAAGUGCAUCGGAAACCAGGAGACUUGAGUGCAGAAGAGGACAGUGGAACUCCAUGUGUAGCGGUGAAAUGCGUAGAUAUAUGGAAGAACACCAGUGGCGAAGGCGGCUGUCUGGUCUGUAACUGACGCUGAGGCUCGAAAGCAUGGGUAGCGAACAGGAUUAGAUACCCUGGUAGUCCAUGCCGUAAACGAUGAGUGCUAAGUGUUGGAGGGUUUCCGCCCUUCAGUGCUGCAGCUAACGCAUUAAGCACUCCGCCUGGGGAGUACGACCGCAAGGUUGAAACUCAAAGGAAUUGACGGGGGCCCGCACAAGCGGUGGAGCAUGUGGUUUAAUUCGAUGCUACGCGAAGAACCUUACCAGGUCUUGACAUCUUCUGCCAACCUAAGAGAUUAGGCGUUCCCUUCGGGGACAGAAUGACAGGUGGUGCAUGGUUGUCGUCAGCUCGUGUCCGUGAGAUGUUGGGUUAAGUCCCGCAACGAGCGCAACCCUUAUUGUUAGUUGCCAGCAUUCAGUUGGGCACUCUAGCAAGACUGCCGGUGACAAACCGGAGGAAGGUGGGGAUGACGUCAAAUCAUCAUGCCCCUUAUGACCUGGGCUACACACGUGCUACAAUGGACGGUACAACGAGUCGCGAAACCGCGAGGUCAAGCUAAUCUCUUAAAGCCGUUCUCAGUUCGGAUUGCAGGCUGCAACUCGCCUGCAUGAAGUUGGAAUCGCUAGUAAUCGUGGAUCAGCAUGCCACGGUGAAUACGUUCCCGGGCCUUGUACACACCGCCCGUCACACCAUGA
rnacentral:rRNA from 2 species